GUGGGGAGAAGGAGAGAGGUAGGGUGUUCAACAAGGGGAGAGGGGGAGGAGAGAGAGGUAGGGUGUUCAACAUGGGGAGGAGGACGGAGGAGAGAGGUAGGGUGUUCAACAAGGGGAGGAGGGGGAGCGGGGGAGAAAGGAGAGAGGUAGGGUGUUCAACAAGGGGAGGAGGUGGGAGGAGAGAGGUAGGGUGUUCAACAAGGGGAGGAGGGGGAGGUGGGGAGAAAGGAGAGAGGUAGGGUGUUCAACAAGGGGAGGAGGACGGAGGAGAGAGGUAGGGUGUUCAACAAGGGGAAGAGGGGGAGGUGAGGAGAAAGGAGAGAGGUAGGGUGUUCAACAAGGGGAGGUGGGGAGAAAGGAGAGAGGUAGGGUGCUCAACAAGGGGAGGAGGGGGAGGUGUGGAGAAAGGAGAGAGGUAGGGUGUUCAACAAGGGGAGGAGGGGGAGGUGGGGAGAAAGGAGAGAGGUAGGGUGUUCAACAAGGGGAAGAGGGGGAGGUGAGGAGAAAGGAGAGAGGUAGGGUGUUCAACAAGGGGAGGAGGUGGGAGGAGAGAGGUAGGGUGUUCAACAAGGGGAGGAGGGGGAGGUGGGGAGAAAGGAGAGAGGUAGGGUGUUCAACAAGGGGAGGAGGGGGAGGUGGGGAGAAAGGAGAGAGGUAGGGUGUUCAACAAGGGGAGGUGAGGAGAAAGGAGAGAGGUAGGGUGUUCAACAAGGGGAGAAGGGGGAAGGAGAGAGGUAGGGUGUUCAACAAGGGGAGGAGGACAGAGGAGAGAGGUAGGGUGCUCAACAAGGGGAGGAGGGGGAGGUGGGGAGAAAGGAGAGCGGUAGGGUGUUCAAAAAG
ensembl:lncRNA